rnacentral:rRNA from 1 species
CCUACGGGAGGCAGCAGUGAGGAAUAUUGGUCAAUGGACGCAAGUCUGAACCAGCCAUGCCGCGUGCAGGAAGACGGCUCUAUGAGUUGUAAACUGCUUUUGUACGAGGGUAAACGCAGAUACGCGUAUCUGUCUGAAAGUAUCGUACGAAUAAGGAUCGGCUAACUCCGUGCCAGCAGCCGCGGUAAUACGGAGGAUUCAAGCGUUAUCCGGAUUUAUUGGGUUUAAAGGGUGCGUAGGCGGUCGGAUAAGUUAGAGGUGAAAUCCCGAGGCUCAACUUCGGAAUUGCCUCUGAUACUGGUCGGCUAGAGAGGAGUUGCGGUAGGCGGAAUGUAUGGUGUAGCGGUGAAAUGCUUAGAGAUCAGACAGAACACCGAUUGCGAAGGCAGCAUACCAAGCUACUUCUGACGUUGAGGCACGAAAGCGUGGGGAGCAAACAGGAUUAGAUACCCCUGUAGUC